rnacentral:rRNA from 1 species
UGACGCUAGCGGCAUGCUUUACACAUGCAAGUCGAACGGCAGCGCGGGGCAACCUGGCGGCGAGUGGCGAACGGGUGAGUAAUACAUCGGAACGUGCCCUGUGAUGGGGGAUAACUACGCGAAAGCGUAGCUAAUACCGCAUACGACCUAAGGGUGAAAGUGGGGGAUCGAAAGACCUCACGUCAUGGGAGCGGCCGAUGGCGGAUUAGCUAGUUGGUGAGGUAAAGGCUUACCAAGGCGACGAUCCGUAGCUGGUCUGAGAGGACGACCAGCCACACUGGGACUGAGACACGGCCCAGACUCCUACGGGAGGCAGCAGUGGGGAAUCUUGGACAAUGGGGGCAACCCUGAUCCAGCAAUGCCGCGUGUGGGAUGAAGGCCUUCGGGUUGUAAACCACUUUUGGCGGGGGCGAAAUAUCGAGUGAUAAUACCAUUCGGUGAUGACAGUACCCGCAGAAUAAGCACCGGCUAACUACGUGCCAGCAGCCGCGGUAAUACGUAGGGUGCAAGCGUUAAUCGGAAUUACUGGGCGUAAAGCGUGCGCAGGCGGUUAAGUAAGACAGAUGUGAAANUCCCCGGCUCAACCUGGGAACUGCAUUUGUGACUGCUU